AGUGUGAGUCUCGGUGAUGGUGACGGCUCUGGAUCAGCUGCUAUGGUGACUAGACUAAUAUUGAAGAUUAUGGUGGCUCUAUUACCUCCAAUGAUGGCAGAGCACGUUUGGUAGCAGCACGAGCUAGUGGUCUGGCCUGAUUCCAGUGAGAAGAAACGACAUGCAACAUGGCACAGCCCAGGUACUGAGACAACCCAUUGUGUUGCUGAGGCAUUGGCCUUUGAACUGGUUGCUGUCAGCAUCUGAGAAGGAGGAAUUAGAGCAACGCUGAAUAAGAACCACUACAAUGCAAAUGUGUGUAUGUAUAAUUCAACCUG